rnacentral:rRNA from 1 species
UACGUAGGCAGCGAGCGUUGUUCGGAGUUACUGGGCGUAAGGGGUGUGUAGGCGGUUGUUUAAGUUUGGUGUGAAAUCUCCCGGCUCAACUGGGAGGGUGCGCCGAAUACUGAAUGACUCGAGUGUGGGAGAGGUGAGUGGAAUUCCUGGUGUAGCGGUGAAAUGCGUAGAUAUCAGGAGGAACACCGGUGGUGUAGACGGCUCACUGGACCAUAACUGACGCUGAGACACGAAAGCGUGGGUAGCAAACAGG